rnacentral:rRNA from 1 species
UACAGAGGGGGCAAGCGUUAUUCGGAAUUAUUGGGCGUAAAGGGCGCGUAGGCGGCUUUGCAAGUGGCGGGUGAAAUCCCUCGGCUUAACCGAGGAACUGCCUGUCAAACUGCAUGGCUUGAGACCAGGAGAGGUGAGUGGAAUUCCAGGUGUAGCGGUGAAAUGCGUAGAUAUCUGGAGGAACACCGGUGGCGAAGGCGGCGUCCUGGACCAACACUGACACUGAGGAGCGAAAGCCAGGGGAGCAAACGGG